AAAGGAAGAUGCCUUUGUAGUGAGUCAUAAAAGAUGAACAGUUUUUCUAUGAGAAUAAUGUUCCAGCUGGAUUAACUUGAAUAAAGGCACAAAAUGUGAGGUGUGCCUGGAAGAUUAUGGGUCACUUUUGGUGACUACAGUGUAAGAUUUCUGGUAUCAAGUAAAGUCAAUUCAACUUGUAAAAGUGUGAGAGAAUUCUGGAAAGAAAGCAGACCAACCAUACAGAGCAACUAGCAAAAUGAAGACAUGGACAAUAUCUACAGGGAAAAAAAAGAAUUGACAAUAUAUCCUCAUAAUUACCAAAAUGCAUCAGAGGUCCACCUCUACUCACUCAAAAUGCAGAUUGUCGAGGUUAGAUCAUCACUGAUGGAGGCAUUUUAUCUGAA
rnacentral:lncRNA from 13 species